GAUGAACGCUGGCGGCGUGCCUAAUACAUGCAAGUCGAGCGAACAGAUGAGGAGCUUGCUCCUCUGACGUUAGCGGCGGACGGGUGAGUAACACGUGGAUAACCUACCUAUAAGACUGGGAUAACUUCGGGAAACCGGAGCUAAUACCGGAUAAUAUAUUGAACCGCAUGGUUCAAUAGUGAAAGACGGUUUUGCUGUCACUUAUAGAUGGAUCCGCGCCGCAUUUGCUAGUUGGUAAGGUAACGGCUUACCAAGGCAACGAUGCGUAGCCGACCUGAGAGGGUGAUCGGCCACACUGGAACUGAGACACGGUCCAGACUCCUACGGGAGGCAGCAGUAGGGAAUCUUCCGCAAUGGGCGAAAGCUUGACGGAGCAACGCCGCGUGAGCGAUGAAGGUCUUCGGAUCGUAAAACUCUGUUAUUAGGGAAGAACAAAUGUGUAAGUAACUAUGCACGUCUUGACGGUACCUAAUCAGAAAGCCACGGCUAACUACGUG
rnacentral:rRNA from 1 species